rnacentral:rRNA from 1 species
UACAGAGGUGGCAAGCGUUGUUCGGAAUUACUGGGCGUAAAGGGCUCGUAGGCGGCCAACUAAGUCCGACGUGAAAUCCCCAGGCUUAACCUGGGAACUGCGUCGGAUACUGGUUGGCUUGAAUCCGGGAGAGGGAUGCGGAAUUCCAGGUGUAGCGGUGAAAUGCGUAGAUAUCUGGAGGAACACCGGUGGCGAAGGCGGCAUCCUGGACCGGCAUUGACGCUGAACAGCGAAAGCCAGGGGAGCAAACGGG